rnacentral:rRNA from 1 species
ACUUUUGGGCGGAAAUGGGCUCAUUAAAUCAGUUAUCGUUUAUUUGAUAGUACCUUACUACAUGGAUACCUGUGGUAAUUCUAGAGCUAAUACAUGCUAAAAACCCCGACUUCGGGAGGGGUGUAUUUAUUAGAUAAAAAACCAAUGCCCCUCGGGGCUCCUUGGUGAAUCAUAAUAACUUAACGAAUCGCAUGGCCUUGCGCCGGCGAUGGUUCAUUCAAAUUUCUGCCCUAUCAACUUUCGAUGGUAGGAUAGUGGCCUACCAUGGUGGCAACGGGUAACGGGGAAUUAGGGUUCGAUUCCGGAGAGGGAGCCUGAGAAACGGCUACCACAUCCAAGGAAGGCAGCAGGCGCGCAAAUUACCCAAUCCCGACACGGGGAGGUAGUGACAAUAAAUACUGAUACGGGGCUCUUUUGGGUCUCGUAAUUGGAAUGAGUACAAUCUAAAUCCCUUAACGAGGAACAAUUGGAGGGCAAGUCUGGUGCCAGCAGCCGCGGUAAUUCCAGCUCCAAUAGCGUAUAUUAAAGUUGUUGCAGUUAAAAAGCUCGUAGUUGAACCUUGGGUCUGGCUGGCCGGUCCGCCUCACCGCGAGUACUGGUCCGGCUGGACCUUUCCUUCUGGGGAAUCCCAUGGCCUUCACUGGCUGUGGGUGGAACCAGGACUUUUACUGUGAAAAAAUUAGAGUGUUCAAAGCAGGCCUUUGCUCGGAUACAUUAGCAUGGAAUAAUAGAAUAGGACGUGCGGUUCUAUUUUGUUGGUUUCUAGGACCGCCGUAAUGAUUAAUAGGGAUAGUCGGGGGCGUCAGUAUUCAGCUGUCAGAGGUGAAAUUCUUGGAUUUGCUGAAGACUAACUACUGCGAAAGCAUUCGCCAAGGAUGUUUUCAUUAAUCAGGGAACGAAAGUUAGGGGAUCGAAGACGAUCAGAUACCGUCGUAGUCUUAACCAUAAACUAUGCCGACUAGGGAUCGGGCGGCGUUUCUAUGAUGACCCGCUCGGCACCUUACGAGAAAUCAAAGUUUUUGGGUUCUGGGGGGGAGUAUGGUCGCAAGGCUGAAACUUAAAGAAAUUGACGGAAGGGCACCACAAGGCGUGGAACCCGGCGGCUUAUUUUGACUCAAACCCGGGGAAAACUCACCAGGGCCCAAACAAAAUAAGGGAUUGAACAAAUUGAGAAACUCUUUCCUGGACCCUU